rnacentral:rRNA from 1 species
GACGAACGCUGGCGGCGCGCUUAACACAUGCCAGUCGAACGGAAAGGCCUGCUUUCCCUUGUGGAUUGCGGGUACUCGAGUGGCGAACGGGUGAGAAACACGUGAGUGAUCUGCCCCCAACUUGGGUAUAAGCCUGGGAAACUGGGUCUAAUUCCCGAUAGGACUGCAGGGUGGUGCCUGUGGUGGAAAACGAUUUUCUAGUGGUUGGGGAUGAGCUCGCGGCCUAUCAGCUUGUUGGUGGGGUAAUGGCCUACCAAGGCGGCGACGGGUAGCCGGCCUGGGAGGGUGGACGGCCACAUUGGGACUGAGAUACGGCCCAGACUCCUACGGGAGGCAGCAGUGGGGAAUAUUGCACAAUGGGCGGAAGCCUGAUGCAGCGACGCCGCGUGGGGGAUGACGGCCUUCGGGUUGUAAACUCCUUUCGACCGCGAGGAAGCCACCUGGUUGGAAGGGUGGUGACGGUAGUGGUAGUAGAAGCACCGGCUAACUACGUG